GUUUUUACCACUUUCAUUCAUGUUUAGGCAUUGAAUAAAUGCCUUCCAUCCAAACCGAAUUGGUGUUUUGUUCCUUGACACGAAUAAACAAUGACAGAUUUUUACAAAGACAAAUAUUCUGCAAUAAUUUUAUUCAUAAUUUUAAUAUAAACAGUUAAUUGUUGAAUAAUUUACACACAGCAAGAUUUUUUAUUUUCAUACCAUUCCAACGUUUUUCUGUACAUGUCACACCGCUUGGCUCUCCUUUUGAAAACAUAGAAAAAAUAAAUUGUCAAGCGUUUUAUUUAGUCAUGGCACAUGUUUGAUCCUGUACAAUAUGUAUUUCUGUUAAUGUGUUGUGGUUGAUGUAACAAAAGUGUGUGUGUGUGUAUAUUUAGACAUGUCCGUCUGUUUGAUGUGUGUGUGUGUGUGUGUUAGUGUGUAAAUGGCGAGAUUUGCAAUGCAUAAAGAUAAUGGCACAUUUGGAUCCAGUGUGAUGGAUGUGGGGCUGGGGCUGGGGUCAGGGAAGCCGGGGCCUUUGGACAAACUGCACAUACAUACACAGGCCUGUUGGGGUUCCUAGAACAGUACACAUGUAAAACAUAUCCCACUCAAUACAUCAGCAUACUCAAUAACAUUAAAUGUCAUUACGCUUACUAAAAAGAGGUAUCCUGCCGAAAAGAAAAAAAAGACUACACGCAGCAUUCUGUGGGGAGAGAGAGAGAGAGAGAGAGAGAGAGAGAGAGAGAGAGAGAGAGAGAGAGAGAUGGUGUGCAGGUAACACAGAAGCAAGCCAUUGUAUAGAGAUCAACAAAAGGACACAUUGCACAGACACAACUGAACCAAAAACAAAAUAAACCAACAGCAUACAUGCGAAUGGAUAGACACUAAAACAGGUUGUUAGGCAUACUGGAGUCGACCACUGGACUCUAGAGAAAGGGUGUUGCUAGAGAAAACAUUUUGAUUCGGUUCCUUCACUAUCCAAAUGGCUCUCCAUGAAACCAUGGCGGGUCAUAUCUAGAAGAGGUCAAACAUCACCAUGGUGAUGCCUUCUUCCUGAGCCAAAGGAGUCCAUCCGUCCCCUCCCCCUAAAUCACACUUUCUCUACGACCCCUAAAUUGACUUGUCAAUACUGGUACAUGUCAGUAAACGCCAUUUGCUUUUAGAAUUUGAUUGACACACAAUAAUUUCUAUAACCAAAAUCAACAACACACUUAGACAUCCCUGCGUCUUUAACCAUAUGGGUAUGUUCAAUAUUUGGAUUGAUAUCUUUUUAAACAGUGGUGCGUGUGUGUGUCUGUGUGUGCGAGUUGUGUGUUGUGUGUGUGUGUGUGUGUGUUUCAUUCGUCAACAAUCCAACAGCAAAAAAAAUAAAAAUAAAAACAUAGAAUCGACAGACGGACAUCAUUAGUUACACGGUACAAAAGUAGCGGAAAGUUUUUUUUAUACAUCUUCAUUCGCGCCAUCACAAAAGGGAUCGGGCAGCACUGUUCAAUCAGCCCACCGCUGGGUUUAGACAGGGAUACAUACGGUCCAAGCCAAUUUAUCUCAUUAGCUUAUUCAAAACUCUCCUCACCGUAUUCUCUCUUAAGAAACGUGCAGUGGUCUUGUCCAGUUGUUCACAUAGAAAACAAAAAACGAAAACCAAAAUAAAUUAUGAAAGAAAAAAAAAGAGAAAAUAAAGUUCGGUAUGGGGUUAGGUGGUGACCUCAGGUGGUGUGGUGAGUAGAAAAAAAAUAUUUUUUAAUUUUAUUUAGAAAAAAGUUAUAUACACAUUAAUAACAAUGUUAAAUUUGUAAUGUACAAGAGUAGUAAAAGUUUACAGUCAGAAAAAGUAAUUGAAUUUGCCCACCCUAUUUUGGCAAAAAAAGAAAAGAAAACAUCUCUAAAAUGUAAUACUUUUUCUUUAAAAACAAUACAACGAUACGUACAACGCUUUGUUCUCACCCUGCACUGCAUGACUUAGCGUCCUCUGUCCACUGGGGGCAGAGUUCAACAAAACGAGCCUAAACUUUCCUAAACCAACCAAGUGCUUUCAUUAUUCAACGGGGGAAAUAGAUCUGCUGCUUCUAUUUACAGUUCGAGCUUAUCAAUCAGGAGAUUGGCUUUUUCUUUCUUUUAAAUAAACAAAAACCAAGAAUGGACAAACAAACGCGUUUCAAAUGGAACUGCGUGUCCGAAGCGUCCAUGCACUCCCUUAGUUGUAAAUAAUCAUACAUUUUCACAUGUGCUUUGGGGCGUCGCUGUUAAAAAAAAUAGAUCGAAAAAAAUUAGCUCAAAAUUGGUUUAGUUUUUCAUGCACAAAGCAACUCAGCACAAGCAGAGCAGAGACAUUGAGCUAAACCAAACAAAUCAUAUGUAUACAUCCCAAUUAACAGUAUAACCCAGCCAAGACGCCUGAUUGUCUACUUCUAUCUACGACGACAGAAGGAGCCCAUCAAAGGACCACAGACCAGCGGUACACCGGCGUUUGCAUGUAUCUUAAUCUGUGUUUGUGGACGAAGUGUGAUUAUCUCCAGUGUGUAGCAGAGACGUGCCAGUGAGUGACGGUUUCUCGGGCUACAUGGGGACCGCCUGGGACGGUGGUCAGUCUGAGCAAGGCACUAUGGGUAAGAGGCCCCUGUUUGCGUUGCUACUCCUUUCCUGCGAGACUCCCACCCAGCCACUAGAGGGCAGCCCAAACCACAUCAAACCCGAAGGAUCCCAGGAAGUACUGCUGAUUCUUUUAAUUAUUUUGCGAUGGGGGAAGAAUAGAUAAAGUGUGUUGGUUUUCUUGGUUCUCACACCGUUGUUUGCGUCUGUUUAGGUGCUGAGAGCGAGGUCUGUGUGGAUGGAAAGGUAGGUAUCGCUUCCUCCUCCAACCGCAAAGCAUCAGGCUGCCUGAGACCAAGGUUACAAUCUAGAGUUCACGUCUGUUCCUAACUUCUUAUGGCACACAGGAUUGUCCGAGUCCCCUGCCAAGGUGAGCCGGGGUGAAGGUGUGUGUUUUUGUGUGCGUGUGUGGUGGGAGAGGUCCUCUUUUAAACAUUUGACUGGCCCUUAAAGAGAUGUCCAUGUACUGCUAAGCCUAAGAAUAACAAGAAAAACAUUCAAAAUAUAUAAGCUCAUCUCUUGAUAUUCACAGUAGAAAAAUGUGGACAAACAACCAUAAACAAAGAAACACAGAAGAAGGCCUAAGGUAACCGCAACUGACGGGCAGAGCCAACGACAGAGAGGGAGACAGAGACGGAGCCAACCACAGAGAGAGAGAGUUUGAGAGAGAGAGAGAGAGACGUUUCUUGCCAGGAUAUCAGCUGAGAGCUCUGUUUGAGCCACGAGACCGGGAAGACGUUUGUGUCUCAAUGGCAGCGCCCCAACAGCGUCUCUGGACGAGCCGUGCAUCCUCCCUCGCGCGUCUAGACCCCGCUAACCACAGCUAUGCAUCACAAGAACAGAAUUUGGUUUUCGUUCCUAAUCCCGACGGACGUCAACUCCAACCUCCGCCGCCACCGCUGUCCCCCGAAAGAAACGACAACAACAACAACAACAACAGCUCGAUACGUACAAUCAAGAAGACGCGUGUGGCCGGGAAUCAGCUCCAUGGGCCGAAAUGUCACACACACAAAAACACACCGGGUUGGAGCCAAGUUCAACGUUUCAUAGCAUCUCUGGCGCCACAGGGCAGGGGAAGAAGCUGUUUGGAAGAUGUGCUGCUCUGAGAGGACAGGUCACCUGUCACAUCACUGCACUCCUGUCUGAGUAACGGCAUCGAAUCAGCUCUUAAUCUACGCAGAGGGACAGACCUCAGACUCACCGAGGGUUGUGCUUGAAAACUGCAUCGUUUUACUUCUUCCGAAAAAGCUGUCUUUGGACCACAAUGAUGUCGAUAAUGGGGAGGAAGAGGAGGGUCAAAGGGUCAUGGUGUUGCACGCGAGCACAAACGCGAGCACGCGUGUACACACACGUACACACACACACACACACACACACACGCACAUGCACACACACCGUUGUAGUAUCCACUUCUCUGCCAGGACUAGAUAAGCUCUUGAUGAAGAGUAGGAAGGAAGCAUCAGGGGAAGGGAGUUUGGCCGUGGGUGUUGAAUGGAGGAAGGGGAGGAUCAAGGAGAUUUGGUGUUGCAUUUUAAUGAAGAAUCGAUCAGGUUCAAAAAUAAAAUAUAUUUCUUAAAGGGGGAUUAUUUAUGCUCUCUGCACCGAUUCCUCCUUAACGUUCUGAGGUAGACUCUGGCCAAAACACAAAAACAAUACCACUACUCCUACCACUACUACUACUCUGAAUACUACUCACUAACCAGCACAUUUCAAUCGAAUACUAUACUCCAUUUAUACACUAACCAAACUAGAAUUUGAAUUGACUCAAUAUCUACACCGGUUUGAUUGUUGGCUUGAAAUUCAUACUUCUCCUGUACUACUCUUUGCUAUGAAAUAAAUAAAGAUAUCUAGUAUUUGCAACGACAAAAAAAAAAAACGUGGGCACCCUCUGAAAUAAAAAUUGCAUAUGCGCGCGUGUACACGGUCACAACAUAACAAAGAUAGGUCAAAGGUCGAGCUGAGCGGUCAACCAUUUUACUUUUUGGGGGAGACCCCCCUCUAUACAGGGCUCCCACUGACUAGUAGCAGAAGAGGAAACCUGAAAAGAGGACAGCUGAAUAGCACGAGAAACCGUGGUGUAAACCUUCACAAUAAGAGCGUCUGAGUGUGUGUGUGUGGGGGGGGGACCUGCAUGGAUGACGGGCGGCCCCCCCAUCCACAGUGUUGUCACUACAGCAGCGGGGCGAUACAGCAGUCUUCACCGCAACGCUGCCAAAUCGCUGGCUGCCGCUACCCUGAUAAAAAGGUCUUUCAUAGUGAAGCUACAGUCACACAAUAAACAGUCUUUCACCAGCUGCCACCACCUUCUCCUCCUCCAGUAUCUCCCUGUCUGCUGAGUAAUAAUAAUCCCGGACCCCCCCCGCUGAGCACGGAGGCCUGUGUGUCGAGUGUUGGUGUGAUGGGAGCAAUGUGUGGCGUACGUCUGCCUGGCUCUCUGUGGCCCUGGGUUUGGGAGAAGGCACUGGUUAUAACGCUGUAGGCUGAGGGGAGGGCAGCCGUGUUCACACAGACUCCGUACCCGGCGACGCAAACUGAUCCCGCCCGUUCAAACCCAACCCAACUCUGGUCCUGUGUUUGCACUCUGAGGGGGCGGAAGGCUGAACCGUACUAUUUGGACGACUAAGAGGAAGGCUUGGACGUGGUUGAGCAGGGGGUGGAACCAACGCAUCGCAACGACUACACAAUGAAAGAAUCAAGCCGUGAUGUUUGCGCGUGCGUGCGCUUGUGUGUGUGUGUGUGUGUGUGUGUGUGUGUGUGUCUCUGUCAGGGCACCAGGAGGGCAGCCAGCGACUCUAGCCGAGAGCUGGAAUGUCCGACCUGAGCGAGGUCGGGGCUGAACACCCUGUCCCUGACCACCGCCACACCCCAUGUGAUAGGAAGGAAAAUAAUAGGAUUAGCAAUCACACACACACACACACGCGCCGAAACACCGCAUUCCCCCUCCACAUCCCGCUGCAGCCUUUCAGCGCAGUCAGAAGUUUCUCCGACUUCAUGUCCGACCGACGACCGGAGAACAUGGCAAAAUACCGCCCGGAGGGCCGACAGCCAAUGGGAAUCCUCGGAGGGGGCGAGGAGAGGAGCAGAGAGGCCAGAGCUGGCGGUUGAAGACAAAGGCAACGUGAGAUAAGAGCGGGACAUUGUUGUGAAUUAGUUCCACAAGGGCGUCGGUCUGCGGUGAAAAGAGGGUCUUCCACGGAGCUCUCGGGGCACUGGCGGAAGAACCAGGCGGGGGCCAGGCGUUCAGGGGAUGGCGUCUAACCUUUCGCCUCGCCCGCACUUCCCCCACUGGUCUGCGUUUGGUUGGUCGUGUGAGCGCCGCAGAACCGCAGUCAACACCGGCAGCGGCGGCAGCACCCAGACACACCCACACACACACACACACCCACACAACCAUCCACACAGCGCACGACGUGGAAGCAAACAUGGAAAGGGUACAGUCCCCCUCAAGAAGCACACCUCUCCAAACGACGGCAGACAUUGGCGGCGAUUCAGACGUCUCACCGACACAGUGAUCAGUGUUGCCAGAUUGGGCCAGAUUUCCCGCCCAAUCUGGCAACCUGGCCCAAUCUGGCAACACCGACAGUGAUUGCCACACUCCCACUUGAAUGCCACCGAAACAACCAACGACAACAACAACCAAGGCCAGAGCCGCUGUGACCUCGGAGCCAACAGGCGGCCCGAAACAAAGGACCACGCACGCCAUUGUGCACUCAGACCUACUAAGACCUCAUUCCCCUGUUUUUAAAGCUUCUUUUGGUUCAUAACUUAUUUUGUGUGUGUGUUCAUGUGUGUGUCCAUGUGUGAUUCUAUGUGUGUGUGUGUGUGUGUGCGUGUGUGGCCUCCCAAUUUACAAUAGCUCUUGGAUGAAACCACGGUCUUAUUUUCUCUUUUCAUAAAAAUGCACUGAUUGGAUAAUAAUCUAGGGCCGUCCUGGUCGGGAGAGCUAAGACACGGAACACAGAUGGGUGGGUAGUUUACUAGUGUACUCUGUACUGGGGCAAGGCUGUGUAAGAAAAAUAACAAAAAAAAGCCCACAGAAAGAGAAAGAUUCAGACAAAAUAAAAUUCUAAAAACAUCUUAUCAGCAAAACUUCUGAUGAAAAAUAUCACAAAUAUGAACUAUAUACAAAACAUCAAUAUUCCAUAUAUUAUAUAUAAAAUAUUGAUACAUAAAUACCAAUAUUCCGUAUAUACUAUAUAUAUAUUAUAUAUUUCUAAACCCACUAAAAUGUAUCAAAGCAGCAGCUAUUGGUCAGUCUGAGGAGCUCUUCUGUCCAAUCCUGAACUGUUUAAAUAUCCUUCAGCCACAUCGCCGGGACAGAGAAACACACAGAGAGAGUGGAGACACACAGAGAUAGAGAGAGAGAGAGAGAGAGAGAGAGAGAGAGAGAGAGAGAGAGAGAGAGAGAGAGAGAGAGAGAGAGAGAGAGAGAGAGAGAGAGAGCACGGAAAAGGAGGAUAGAAGAUGAAAAAUAACCCAAAAAAACGCAAAUAAAUUAAAAACUAUUCACCAAAACACAGAUGAACCUGUACUCGUUUGGAAUUCUGCAGAACUGGCAAAAAAAAAAAAUUAAAAGAAAAAGAAAAAAAUAAUAAAAUGAGGAACAAAACAUAUUCUACAGAUAGACGUUUUGUUCUAAUAUCGAGUCUUUGCUGUGGAACCCCACAGUUCUACCCCCACCAGUGGUGACUCACCGCUGGACCCCGAAGACACCAGUCUUUGCUGAGAGGCCACCAAUAAAAAGGCCACAGUUGAGUAGAGAGAUAUCUCACUUGAAGGAAAGUAUGGGGAGGAGAGGAGGUAGGGAGGGAGGGUGGGAGGGUAGGAGAAGAAAGCAGCCUUCUGGAUGUCUAAGGUUUGUUGUGUUCACAGUUUUUUCUCUCUCUGUCUCUCCCUUUCUUUUUCUCUUUCCGGUCUCUCUGUCUUGUCGCCCCGGGUUACCGCCGCUGUCAGCCAUCAGUCCGGGGAACCUGGGCGUCGCAAGACUGGUUUAGCCCCGCCCAUUCUGCCGGCGAUUUGACUCCGCCCGGCACAAGGGUCUGGAGAAGAGCAAUACAUUUCUUUCUGCUUCCGAUACGUUUUUUUGCGGGAGCCAGUCACCAAGCUGGCUUUUUUCCCCCCCGCGACGCGCUAUUGGCUGGCUUAACAACACAAUGACGACAGGGAAGCGACGGCAAGCAGCCAACCGCGUACAGAGUCAGACAUUGGUCUGGCAAAGGCCAGACUAGGGCGUCGCCAGACGAGGCGAUACGGUGAGGGGCGUCCUCCACGCGACAGACCCCCCCUCCGUAGAUGAACCAUGGCGAUAAAUAUGAAAACAGUGUUGCAUUGACACCGUGUCGUAC
ensembl:lncRNA